GACGAACGCUGGCGGCGUGCCUAAUACAUGCAAGUAGAACGCUGAAGGAGGAGCUUGCUUCUCUGGAUGAGUUGCGAACGGGUGAGUAACGCGUAGGUAACCUGCCUGGUAGCGGGGGAUAACUAUUGGAAACGAUAGCUAAUACCGCAUAAGAGUAGAUGUUGCAUGACAUUUGCUUAAAAGGUGCAAUUGCAUCACUACCAGAUGGACCUGCGUUGUAUUAGCUAGUUGGUGGGGUAACGGCUCACCAAGGCGACGAUACAUAGCCGACCUGAGAGGGUGAUCGGCCACACUGGGACUGAGACACGGCCCAGACUCCUACGGGAGGCAGCAGUAGGGAAUCUUCGGCAAUGGACGGAAGUCUGACCGAGCAACGCCGCGUGAGGGAAGAAGGUUUUCGGAUCGUAAAGCUCUGUUGUAAGAGAAGAACGAGUGUGAGAGUGGAAAGUUCACACUGUGACGGUAUCUUACCAGAAAGGGACGGCUAACUACGUG
rnacentral:rRNA from 1 species